UACGGAGGGUGCGAGCGUUGUCCGGAAUCACUGGGCGUAAAGGGCGCGUAGGCGGCGCGGGCAGUCAACGGUGAAAGCUUGGGGCUCAACCCCGAGUCGGCCGUCGAUACUCCCGGGCUUGAGCACUGUAGAGGCAGGUGGAAUUCCGGGUGUAGCGGUGGAAUGCGUAGAGAUCCGGAAGAACACCGGUGGCGAAGGCGGUUCUCUGGGCCUGACCUGACGCUGAGGAGCGAAAGCGUGGGGAGCGAACAGG
rnacentral:rRNA from 1 species